GCUUGGCCUCAUCUGCAGGUCAAGUUCUCAGAUUCUUUUUCUGUUAAAAUGGAGGCUGGUCCCAAGAUGGAGUAGGUCUGGCCACUCAAGGUUAGAGAAGCAGUUCUGGGUGAGGUAGGGGGUAAGCAUGGCCUGGGCCUUGAGAUCCCAGCUUCUGUUUGAUAAAGACCAAGACCCCUGGCUGCGGUGAAUCAGCGAGGGCCUCUGGCUGAUGAAGGGUGUUCUUCAGACAUGCAGGAGCCAUGGGAACACCUCACGAGCCACUGUGAUCCUUUCGCAGGGGAAAUCACUGAGGAAGAGAGGGACCAGAGCUGUCCUCUAAACCACUGUGAUGGACCACUGGGACAGCAGGCCAGGCUGUCGGCUCUAGAGCGCUGCACCAGACAGAGAAUCCAGGUAAUCAUUGCUGGGAUCUACGAAGAGGCUGAGAUCAGCCUAUGUGCAAACUGGCAAGCUGGCUUCCUCCGAGGCUCGGGAGUCUUCAAGGAAGAAGCAACGGGAAGACUGUAAGAGUCCAAGGUGGAGGAUAACGCAACAGAGCAGCCACACACCAGAACUCCCAGAGACUGACAGCACCCACAGGAUCCACCCAAGCUCAAGACAGACAGACAAAAUCCAGUCGGGGAGUUCGGAGAACCAAGCCCAGAGAUGGUCCCACCCACAAGGGGAACUUCUGGAAUGAUGUAAAACUGUGAGCCUGAAUAGGAUGCUAUGAGCUACGCAGGCAUGGGUGUGACCAGGCUGACAAACAACAGGAAGAAUGGUCCAUUUGUAGGCUCUGCAGUCAGAGGAAACAUGAGCCUCUAGGAUUUUCAGCCAGGUAAGCUAGAGUGGCAAGUCAGAAGAAGCAAAAGUCAGCGGUCUGCAGGAACAAAGCAAGGUGGCAAUCGCCCAGGGUGCUCGCUCACUCUGCUGUCAGCCGCCCUCAGGGUAAGAGCUUCAGACAGCUGUGGAUAACCCUAGCUGCCUCGGGAAAGCAACCAGGGACUUGGUGACUCGCUGACAGUGGGUAGUGGAUAAGAUGGAGAACAUACUUGACCCGCUGACAGCAACUCCCUUUUAAGAAAGCCGACCCCAGCACCCUCAGCAUCCUUCUCCACAGGACAACUUGGCCAGGGAUGCUUCUCGGGAGGAAAAUGAAGAUAAGAACUGGAGAUCUGGCAGGAGGCACAAGAGAGAGCUGCAGAGGGAAUCCUUAAAAGGAUUUAGAAGGAUUUUAUUGUACUUGGUGAAGCACAGCAGGGGAUAAGAUCAUAAAUUCACCCUUGAGAACAG
rnacentral:lncRNA from 1 species